UGCGUAGGUGGGCCAGCAAGUGCUUUGUGAAAUCCCCCGGCUCAACCGGGGAACUGCGGGGCAUACUGCUGGUCUUGAGGAAGGUAGGCGCCGGGGGAACAGUAGGUGGAGCGGUGAAAUGCGUAGAUAUCUACUGGAACGCCGAUGGUGAAGACGCCCGGCUGGGCCUUUCCUGACACUGAGGCACGAAAGCGUGGGGAAGCAAACA
rnacentral:rRNA from 1 species